rnacentral:lncRNA from 1 species
CGGAUAUGUUAUAUAUAACUGAUAGUGUAUUAGAAAUUCACGGUUAUUUUGUAUUCUCCCCUAUUACUCCAGUCGAGGAUUUGUCUAACUAUAUAAAUCCUUGCUUCAGUCUAGUACUGUGUCAAUACAAUGCAUGUGUAUUAUACUGACGAUAGCAGUCCUUUUGCGCCAAUUACUGUUUUCCAAAUGUAUCAAUGGCGCCAAUAUUCGGAACUCAUUUGCGCAAAUUUACCUGGACACAUAUCUAUCAUAAAAUAUUAUUGAUUAAUAUAUAAUUGUUUUUUAUUUUUGGCUUAAAAAUGGAGAUAAUAAGAUGAACAUCUGGAGAGAAAUGACUUAAAAUACAUUAGAUAGGCAAUGUACAAUGAGAGAAUAAAACCUAUUGCUUUGCUGAAUAUUUAAUUCAAGUUUUCAAAAAGAGAAGAAAACAGAAACUUUUGCUGACUAUGUUUAAGCCAUAUAUGUUGAUGACACAGUGCUUUAUGGCAAGACAAUACAGUUAUGGAGAAGAAGCAUUCUACAGGAAUUAUCAUGAACUGUUUUAUGCAUUUCAACCUUCAAUGUUUGUGUUUUUUGACAAUAAAGUGAAGUUACAAGUUACUACAUACAUUAAAUUGGGAAGUACCCAUGCAGCAGCAGUAAAAAGAAGAUGUGUUUGAGAAAUGAAAACAUUUGCCGUAUAAACUGCCGGUUCCAAUUCCGAAUAAAGGAGGAGGGAAGUCAUUUUUCUUCUAAUUGGCGUAAUCGUAUGUUUUAUUUUUGGCGCAAAUGUUACCAUGUAAUUUUACAACAGGUGGCGCAAACGUAGCAUUGGAGAUUAAAAAUUGUGGCGCAAAAGGACGCAUUUUUGGUGUAAACGGAUUUUUCCCAUACUGACAAUACCUGAUAAAGGCUUGAUUAAAUUUACGGUUAUUAAAAGAUUAACAUUAUGGAAUUUUAAUGCUGCUAUAUUCUCUAGAGUGGUAAUGGUUGCAGGUAUGAG